rnacentral:rRNA from 1 species
CGGGUGAGUAACACGUAUCCAGCCUGCCGUCUACUCUUGGACAGCCUUCUGAAAGGAAGAUUAAUACAAGAUGGCAUCAUGAGUCCGCAUGUUCACAUGAUUAAAGGUAUUUUCCGGUAGACGAUGGGGAUGCGUUCCAUUAGAUAGUAGGCGGGGUAACGGCCCACCUAGUCAACGAUGGAUAGGGGUUCUGAGAGGAAGGUCCCCCACAUUGGAACUGAGACACGGUCCAA